rnacentral:lncRNA from 1 species
CAUGUAUGUUUUUGAAUGUGCAUAUGAAUGUCUAUUUGAGUGCAUAUGUGUGCAGAUGUGCGAGUGAAUACAUUUAUGAGUGCACGUGAAUGUUUUGUGAGUGUAAGAAAAUAUGUAUUUGAGUGUACAUGUGUGAGUGCACGUGUAUGUGCAAAAGUGCAUGACAGUGUGACUGUGUGUAUGUAUGCAGGUAUGAGUGUGUGACAUGGGAGUGUUUAUAUGAGUGCAUGUUUGUGAUUGUGUGUAUAAAUGGGAGUAUGUGAAGGUAUCUAUGUGAGUGUGUGUGUAGUGUGUAUCUGUGAGCAAAUGCAUGUAUGAGUAUGUGUGUGUGAAAAUGUUUUUGGUGAGUGUAUGCAUAUUUGUGUUUGUGUAUGCGUGCAAAAUAUAUUUGUGUGUAAAUGCAUGCGUAUGUAUUUUGAGAGUGUUUAUGUGAGAAUAGAUGUGUGUGAAUGUGUGUUUAUGUGAGCGCGUGUGUUUGUGCGUGUGUAUAUGCAAAUUCAUGAUUACCCAUGUGAUAUUUAGAAAGAGAAAUCUAGUGGUUUCGGGAAAGUGUGGGCUGAAGGGUGACCACCUGGGCUGGAAUACCAACUCUGCCACUUCCUGGCUGUGCGCCCUUGGGCAAGUUACUCAAUACUCAACCUCUCUGCACCUCAGUUUCCUCAUCCCUUAGAGGGAUAUUGAAAUAAUUACAGUUAUUAAUGUAUGUAAAGCUCUUAGGACGAUGUCUGUACAUAUUUAGCAUUCAGUACAUUUUAGCUGUGAGAAAAAUGGGAGCUAAAAAGCAGAGGAAAGGGACUGGUGGGCCUUGACUGAGAUCACUCUGAAGAAGUGGCACUUUUGCUGAGACCUGCAGGAUGAGUCCAGGUGAAUGUGUAGUGGGCUUCUGUUUAAUCGUUUGCUUGUUCCUGAACCACUUCUCCCCUUCUGCAGGGACCACUCUCGAUUUUUCCUGUGAAAACAACUCCAUGUCCACUUAGUUCAGCAGAUAGGGCUGCCUAUCCUCUGGCUCCUGCCAUCCAGGCCUGGCCCUUCACUAAACUUCACCCAUUGGCUAUGUGAUUCUUUCAGGAGUGGGCAGAUGACCCCAUCUCAGCCAAUGAGAAACAUCCCAGAGACUUUGCUGUUAACUACCGCAGAGGAGGGGCAUGUAGCCAGAGUGAUGUAAGCCUGACACUACCAGUGUAGCCAUUUCUCACCUGCAGGGAGAGCGUGACUGUGAAAGAUGCCAACCCCGAAGAGACAGGAAGACCACAGUCUGAAAUAUUCUUUGAAUCCCCGGAUCCAGCCAUGCCUGAAGCUAUGCACACCUGGAUUUUUCAGGAAUGGAAGUUUAUUUCUCCACCUCUUCAAUCUGGGUUGGCCAAUGGACUUGCUCUGGCCAAUCGAAACACUAACAAAGAGUAGACACACAGAGGCUUUUGAAUUGCUUGCCCAUAAGGUCUUUCUCUUUUUUGCUGAACUUGGAGACAUGGAAUGAGUCUGAGCUGGCUUGAUGGAAGGUCAGAGACCAUAUGGAAAAGAAUGAAGGUGCUCCAGCUGAUAGCUUGCCGAAUAUCAAAUGUGUGAGUGAAACCAUCCUUAAAUCAUCCAGCUGUAAUCUGCAAUACUAGUGGACCCUAGACUCAGGAGAGAUGACCUGAGCUAGACUAGACCCGAUCAAUUGCACAGACAGCCAUUAGAAUUGUGAGCUAAAUAAAUGGCUAUUUACCACCCAAUUUGUAUUUUGAGCAAAAGCUGAUGGAGAUAGCUCUAUGAACUUCUACACAGAUGUACACCCAUGUAACCACCAGCCAAAUCAAGACAAAGAACAUUUCUAGCAUCCAAUAAAGUCUUUGUUUCCUUUUCCAGUCAAUCUCCCAACCCUGAGAGAUGUUCAUUGUUCUAUAAUAUCACUAUAGACUUGUUCAUAUUAAUGGGAAUGUAAAGGAUGUGUCUUUUGUGGCAGAUGUUUUUUGUUGACCCUGUCUGUGAUAUUCAUAUAUGUUCUAUAUAUGUCUAAUAUAUGAUGUUUUAUAUAUAUAUCUACAUAUAUAUGUAGUUUGUUUAUUUUUGAAAAAUUCUGUGUAUUUCAA